UACGGGGGGGGGCAAGCGUUGUUCGGAAUUACUGGGCGUAAAGGGUCUGUAGGUGGCUUGCUAAGUCAGACGUGAAAAUCCCUCGGCUUAAACCGGGGGAACUGCGUCUGAUACUGGCGAGCUUGAGUGCAGGAGAGGAACGCGGAAUUCCAGGUGUAGCGGUGAAAUGCGUAGAUAUCUGGAGGAACACCGGUGGCGAAGGCGGCGUUCUGGACUGCAACUGACACUGAGAGACGAAAGCCAGGGGAGCAAACGGG
rnacentral:rRNA from 1 species